CUCACGAUUUACGUUUCAGAGAGCUAGAUUUUGAAAUUUCUCAGCUCCCCCGCAUUCGCUCCUCUGCCCGGUGCCCCGAGUUCUCCUCUUUGCGCAGCUUCAUCUUCCUCUUCAUCUAUCCCUGCUCGUGUCCUACAAAUUGCUAAAGUCUUCUUAUUCUUCUCUCCCUGCUUGCGCUUCUUCUUCCUCUUCUUGAAAUUUGUUUGGGCGACCCUUAGCCCAACGUCCCAGGUAACUUUCGAGAUUUUUUCUCUUCAUUCACUUUUUGGUUGGGUACGAAAGGAGGUGAAGGGAGGCCACAAAGUUUGUGUUGUGAAUUUUGUGAGUUGGGUAUUGAAACUUUUGGGGCUUAGGGUUGUCUGAUGUACGCCUUGUUGAAGCCCUUGACCGGGCUCUACGUUCCUCAACACUGUUCAUUGAGAAACACUUACAAUUUCUUGCUUCUCUGAGACGUCUUCCUUUAAAUCCUGCAGUUCAUUGGAGAAAGGUCAGAUUUACACUUUUCGAGUUGGCUCUAGUCAGGUGAGCUCUAGAAGUGUUCCUAAUCCUUUGUGAUUUACAGGUCACCGGGAAAAAGAAUCAAUGUUAAUUUUGCUUUCAUUUUAUUAAUUCAAACCAUUUCUCUCGAGUUCUUAAAAAAAAAAAAUACGUUGCAUUUUGUUUGGUUCAGUCUAAGCAAUCUUGGUAUUUUUUUUCUGCCCACACUCCUAAUUUUGAACUGUUAACUUGCGUAUAAGCUUUUGUAUACCAUCAUUAAGUUGGUUACUUGCACACUCCUAAUUUAGUUUCUCCGCCUUACUUAAUAAUAAAUAAAUAAAGUAGGUUCUCCACCUUUCUGGUUUUACAGUCAGUAAUCAUAGGACGGUAAUGCAUGUUUGAUCUCACAAGAAGGAAAAAAGAAGCUAAAUAAAUAAAUUACUAAAGAGAUCCAUGUAAUGGUGAUAAGCAUACUCCAUCAUGGGUAAAUUGAAAAAUUUUAUACUGGAAGCUGCUACAUGUUUUUAGAUCUUAAAUGGUAUCCUUACUUUAUCCAUAUUGCUAUUGAAAAUUUGAAAGAAGACCUACUCGCUUUAAAUGGACAAACUUUUCAUGCUUGUGCUCACUGUAAAUUCUGCUACUGCUUUACUGAUUAUAAUCUAAAUGGUAAAACAAGUGAUCAAGGGACUUGAUGACGGGAUCCUGAGCAUGAAAGCAGGAGGAAAGCGUCGACUUUUCAUCCCAGGAUCAGAAAUUUAGGGACAUAUAGUCCCAUCUGCGGGGAUUGAAUCCCAAAUCAGAUACCAUACCUGUGGGACUGAUGGAAGGCCAGGGCCUAUUGGCAUUAGAAUUCAUAUUUACCUUGCUUUUUAUGGCAUGAGUCAGCAAUGCAGAUUCAAAAUUUUCGCCAUGCUACUCAUCCAAGAGAUGGAACAUCUAGAACAUUUAAGAGGGGAAUGAGAAAGAGUUAUGACAGUGUUAAUACAGUGUUAAGACGGUUAUAUUUCACUUCAUCGAAAAUGUAUGUGAAUUUAUUGAUUCACAGUUUUUCCUUGAAAGAGUAGUCCUCUUUAUUUGCUUUUCUUUUAUUUUUCCUUUCUCUUAUUAUGCCAAAACCACAUACAGAUUGUAUUAUGUUAUUAUUAUUCCGUUUGCAUGAAAUCAAAAACCAGAUACAGACUAUGUUGCAA